UGCCCAGUUCAGGGAAGUCAGCUAGAGC
rnacentral:sRNA from 1 species